rnacentral:lncRNA from 1 species
GGCGAAACCCCGUUUCCACUAAAAAUACAAAAAUUAGCCAGGCAUGGUGGCGCAUGCCUGUUGUAAUCCCAGUUACUUGGGAGGCUGAGGCAAGACAAUCGCUUGAACCCAGGAGCUGGAGGUUGCAGUGAGCUGAGAUGGCACCACUGCACUCCAGCCUGGGUGACAGAGUAAGACUUCUUCUCAAAAACAAACAAACAAACAAAAAUUAUCUGACAUCUCACCCUCCUGAUCAAACUUGUCAUUGGCUUCCCAUUAUUCUCUGUUUGAUAAAAGCUAAGUCUUUGCCACAGCCACAGCCUCACCUCUCAGGCCUGGCUGUUCGUCCAUCCUCACCCACUUUCUUGGAGAUCUGAGACAAAGCUGCCCUCCCUCCAGUCUCAGCAUCUCUUCCUGGAAUGCUGCUAACUCCUGCCAUACAACCUGUUCAUUCUGCUUCUGAUCUCAGCUUAAACGCUGCUUCUUUCCAGAAGCCCUCCCUGAUCUACAAAGAUUCCCAUGUUUUGUGUUCCUCAUGUAGCACUUAAGUUUGUCACUGUCUAUAUGUGACUAUUUGAUUGUCUUCCCAACUGUGGACUCCACAGGGUGUGUUUUGCUUAUUGAUGAACCUCAGUCCUAGCAAACAGCAGGUAUUCAAAUAUUUGUUGUUGAAUGAAUGGUGUAGUUUUAGAAAAAUUAAGUCUGGCAGUAUGCAGAGAAGAUGAAGUGGAGGCGGCGAGGAGGCUGUUGCACUGGUAGAUGGAACUACAGUGGGGCUGAGGAACAGACACAAGGUAGACUUCGAAGUCAGAUCUUCCUGGAUUUCAGGUCCUGUUGGCUGGUAGAGGAAGGGUCGGGGCCACAACAGGACAGGGGAACACCCCACCUGCCUGCCUCAGGGAAUACAUGAAGCCUCCUCACACCUUCAGAGGUUCUGUACUGACCACUGCCCCUGGACAACCUGAGUGAGGGGAGAAAAUCUCAUGGCUGGUCCACAUUCUCUAUAUGUUCCCCGACAAGGUGGGGUGGGGAGGGACUCCCCCUGACUGGAAGGUGCCAGGAUCUCCCCUCUGCCCUGCAUCCUCAACCCCUGCCAAGUCUGGUAUGACCUAAGGCCUGGCACAUGGCAGGGGUGGGGACAGGGCAAAGCUGUGACAUCGUGGGUGAAACUGGAGAACCACCAGGAGCUUUCCCGUCCCUCUCCGGGUCAGCAUCUUCUCAGGCAUGAGACACUUCUCCUCCUGCCAGAGGAAGCCCACUGGGCCCACCAUUGCUUUUUCUCUCUCUUGCACAGGGGGCUUGACUAGAACCCCGUUCCCAUCUGUGCAGGCCUGGGCUCCCUCCCAUCCCUAGCUGUAGCCCUCCUUGUGCGGCAGGCUUGAAAACAGCAGGGGAGGCAGCUGGAACCCCCAGGCAGCAUCCUGUAGAUGGGGCCCCGGAGCUGGGCCUGGCGGCAGCAGGGCAACUGGUGAGCACUUCCCGGAGGGCAGACACAAGGACACUCACUCGUGCAGCUGACACAAAGCGGCGGCUACAUCUCCCAGCCAUGCUCCCCACCCAGCCCCACUCACAGACACAGGGGGAUGGACAAGAUGGCAUGGGAGGGACGACCGGGCAGGACAAGCAGGCUCGGUGGAGGAAGCGCCGAGGCGGGCGGCGGUGUCCUCAUGGCGUGGUUUAUUACAAUUCCAUCUCACAAGGCGGGUGGGCGGGUGGCAGCGGCACACGAAAUCCAAGCCCCUGACAGACGUCUGCCUCGGGCGCAUGCAAACAGUGCAACAUGGUCAAGCGCAAACACGGGGCGACCGAGGAGACACGGGACGCAGGAAAAAGGCCCGCCAGCCCGCUGGGGCUCAGUUC